UACGCGCGCGUUCUAUUUGUAGGCACAACCGGUGCAGGAAAAACAAGUCUCCUACGACAUGUUAUCGGGUCUGAUCCUGAUGAAGACCGCUUUCCCUCAACAUCAACCGCAAAAACUACUGUUUCAGAUAUCGAAGUUGUGCUUGCAGAAGGCAGAUACGAUGCUGUCAUAACAUUCUUUUCCGAAUUUUGGGUGCAGGCGAACGUUGAAGAAUGCAUUGCUGACUCCUGCUCUGCCGUAUGGGACGGAGCAACAGACGCAAAGAUUGCGGAGCGCCUU
rnacentral:misc_RNA from 1 species